rnacentral:lncRNA from 1 species
AAGAGAUGCACAGCUGGGCUUUCAGGCACGUAUUUCAUUUAGUCAUCAUGACAACUCUAUGACAGAUGGCUUACUAACAUUACCAUUUAAUGGUAGAAACUGAAACAAUGUGAUAAUGCCGGUGCUCACGUGGCUACAGUGGCCACAGUUCAAGCUCAGAGUCAUUUAUUUCUAAGUCCUUUGCUCAGGUCACUCUUCUAAACUCCUGGAGCAUCGCUCUGAACUUUUUGCUACCUCAGUGUUUCCCACUGGGUCUGAAGUUAGCCUACUGGCCAGCAAGCCCUAGCUACCCUCUUGACUCCACCUCUCUGGGAUUACAGCUAUGGAAGCUUCUUACAGACCCUGGAAAAGAGAAUGUCAAACAGAAAAGACAGAGGAAGAGGCAGGCUUUGCCCAACGGUCGUCUCAGA